AUUGAACGCUGGCGGCAUGCCUUACACAUGCAAGUCGAACGGUAACAGGUUAAGCUGACGAGUGGCGAACGGGUGAGUAAUACAUCGGAACGUGCCCAGUAGUGGGGGAUAGCCCGGCGAAAGCCGGAUUAAUACCGCAUACGACCUAAGUGUGAAAGGGGGGGAUCGCAAGACCUCUCGCUAUUGGAUCGGCCGAUGUCAGAUUAACGAGUUGUUGGGGUAAAAGCUAACCAAGGCGACAAUCUUGAGGUGGGUUGAGAUGCCGAACAGCCACACUGGGACUGAGACACGGGACAAACUCCUAAGGGAGGCAGGAGUGGGGAAUUUUGGAAAAGGGGCGCAAGACUGAUCCAGGCAAGACGCGGGCGGGAAGAAGGACUUCGGGUUGGAAACCGGUUUUGGCAGGGAAGAAAACCUUUGGGUUAAUACCUCGGGGGGAUGACGGUACCUGAAGAAUAAGCACCGGCUAACUACGUG
rnacentral:rRNA from 1 species